rnacentral:rRNA from 2 species
GCGACCCAGGUCAGGCGGGACUACCCGCUGAG